AGCAUAUCAAUAAGCGGAGGAAAAGAAACCAACAGGGAUUGCCUCAGUAACGGCGAGUGAAGCGGCAACAGCUCAAAUUUGAAAUCUGGCCCUAGGCCCGAGUUGUAAUUUGCAGAGGAUGCUUUUGGCAAGGUGCCUUCCGAGUUCCCUGGAACGGGACGCCAUAGAGGGUGAGAGCCCCGUCUGGUCGGACACCGAGCCUCUGUAAAGCUCCUUCGACGAGUCGAGUAGUUUGGGAAUGCUGCUCAAAAUGGGAGGUAUAUGUCUUCUAAAGCUAAAUACCGGCCAGAGACCGAUAGCGCACAAGUAGAGUGAUCGAAAGAUGAAAAGCACUUUGAAAAGAGAGUUAAAUAGCACGUGAAAUUGUUGAAAGGGAAGCGUUUAUGACCAGACUUGGCCCGGUUGAUCAUCCACCCUUCUGGGUGGUGCACUCUGCCGGUCCAGGCCAGCAUCAGUUCGCUCCGGGGGAUAAAGGUUUCGGGAAUGUAGCUCCUCCGGGAGUGUUAUAGCCCGUUGCGUAAUACCCUGGGGUGGACUGAGGUCCGCGCUCUGCAAGGAUGCUGGCGUAAUGGUCAUCAACGACCCGUCUUGAAACACGGACCAAGGAGUCGUCUUCGUAUGCGAGUGUUCGGGUGUAAAACCCCUACGCGUAAUGAAAGUGAACGCAGGUGAGAGCUUCGGCGCAUCAUCGACCGAUCCUGAUGUUCUCGGAUGGAUUUGAGUAAGAGCAUACGGGGCCGGACCCGAAAGAAGGUGAACUAUGCCUGUAUAGGGUGAAGCCAGAGGAAACUCUGGUGGAGGCUCGCAGCGGUUCUGACGUGCAAAUCGAUCGUCAAAUAUGGGCAUGGGGGCGAAAGACUAAUCGAACCUUCUAGUAGCUGGUUUCCGCCAAAGU
rnacentral:rRNA from 1 species